UACGUAGGGGGCUAGCGUUGUCCGGAAUCAUUGGGCGUAAAGCGCGUGUAGGCGGUCCGGUAAGUCCGCUGUGAAAGUCGGGGGGCUCAACCCUCGAAUGCCGGUGGAUACUGUCGGGCUAGAGUGCGGAAGAGGCGAGUGGAAUUCCUGGUGUAGCGGUGAAAUGCGUAGAUAUCGUAAGGAAGACCAGUGGCGAAGGCGGGUCUCUGGACAGUUCCUGACGCUGAGGCACGAAGGUCAGGGGAGCAAACGGG
rnacentral:rRNA from 1 species